UUUUAUUUAUGCUUCCUGAACUCUGUUCUUAUUUAUUUUCUGUACUGUAGAUAGAUUGGUUGUGUCUCAAAACGUAGUGAGCUGAAUUUCAAGGGCGUGCAGCAUGCAUGGGUUUGCGUCUUUUUAAGUAAGCAUCAUAGGAGUGUGCAGCAUUUUGGGGCAUAAAAGAAGACUCUCAGUAUGGCGUUAAAAUCUGGAGAGGAGCGCCUGAAGGAGAUGGAGGCAGAGAUGGCGCUGUUCGAGCAGGAGGUGUUGGGAGGACCUGUGGCACCUACAGUGGUUGAAGCUGUGCCAGUUGCUCUGGCAAUGCCAGGUGUACCCAUCAUCAGGCCCAUCAUUGGUACAAACACCUAC